AGUGAACGCUGGCGGUAGGCCUAACACAUGCAAGUCGAACGGCAGCACAGGAGAGCUUGCUCUCUGGGUGGCGAGUGGCGGACGGGUGAGGAAUACAUCGGAAUCUACUUUUUCGUGGGGGAUAACGUAGGGAAACUUACGCUAAUACCGCAUACGACCUACGGGUGAAAGCAGGGGAUCUUCGGACCUUGCGCGAUUGAAUGAGCCGAUGUCGGAUUAGCUAGUUGGCGGGGUAAAGGCCCACCAAGGAGACGAUCCGGAGCUGGUCUGAGCGGAUGUUCAGCCACACUGGAACUUAACCACGGUCCAGACUCCUACGGGAGGCAGCAGUGGGGAAUAUUGGACAAUGGGCGCAAGCCUGAUUCAGCCAUACCGCGUGGGUGAAGAAGGCCUUCGGGUUGUAAAGCCCUUUUGUUGGGAAAGAAAUCCAGCUGGUUAAUACCCGGUUGGGAUGACGGUACCCAAAGAAUAAGCACCGGCUAACUUCGUGCCAGCCGCCGCCGUAA
rnacentral:rRNA from 1 species